rnacentral:rRNA from 1 species
GACGAACGCUGGCGGCGUGCUUAACACAUGCAAGUCGAACGGUAAGGCCCUGCUCUUGUGGGGUGCUCGAGUGGCGAACGGGUGAGUAACACGUGAGUAACCUGCCCUUGACUUUGGGAUAACUUCAGGAAAUUGGGGCUAAUAUCGGACAGGAGCUCCUGCUGCAUGGUGGGGGUGGGAAAGUUGCGGCGGUCGGGGAUGGACUCGCGGCUUAUCAGCUUGUUGGUCGGGUAGUGGCCUACCAAGGGUUUGACGGGUAGCCGGCCUGAGAGGGUGACCGGCCACCGUGGGGCUGAGGUACGGCCCAGGCUGCUACGGGUGGCAGCAGUGGGGAACAUUGCACAAUGGGCGGAGGCCUGAUACGGCAACGCCGCGUGCGGGAUGAAGGCCUUCGGGUUGUAAACCGCUUUCGCCUGUGGCGAAGCGUGGGUGACGGUAGUGGGUAAAGAAGCACCGGCUAACUACGUG